CCUUCGAUAGCUCAGUUGGUAGAGCGGUGGACUGUAGAAAUUUGGGAAAGUUAAAUGUGUGUACCGUACCUCCUGAGGUUCGAUCACUUGAUCAAGCUUUCCGAUCGAGUAGAAAUCCAUAGGUCACUGGUUCAAAUCCGGUUCGAAGGA
rnacentral:tRNA from 2 species